rnacentral:rRNA from 1 species
GAUGAACGCUGGCGGCGUGCCUAAUACAUGCAAGUCGAGCGAACAGACGAGGAGCUUGCUCCUCUGACGUAGGCGGGGAACGUGUGAGGAGCACGGGGAUGACCUACCUAUAAGACUGGGAUAACUGCGGGAAACAGCAGCUAGAACCUUAUGCUAAUUUGAACCGAAUAGUCCAAGAGGCAAGGACGGUUUUGCUGACAGUAAUACAUUGAGCUGCGCCCCAUUAGCUAGUUGGAAAUGUAAGGGUUUACCAAGGCAACGAUGCCGAGCCGAACUGAGAGGGUGAUCGACUACACUGGAACUGAGAAACGGCCCCGACUCUGAGGGGAGGCCGCAGUAGGGAAUCCUACGCAAUGCGCGAAUGCCUGACGGAGCAAAGCCGCGUGAGUGAUGAAGGUCUUAGGAUCGUAAAAUGAAGUUAUAAGGGAAGAACAAAUGUGCAAGUAACAAGGAACAUCUUGACGGUACCUAAUCAGAAAGCCACGGCUAACUACGUG